AUACCUUUCUCGGCCUUUUGGCUAAAAUCUAGUAUCUGUUCUUAUCAGUUUAAUAUCUGAUAUGUGGACCAUUGAUCUGCAUGAUAUUAAUUCUAUUUUUUGAGGGGGAGAGUCCCUCAAGGUAGCUUGCUGCCUGGGCUCUCAAGUGUCGUCUUUGUGUUGCACUACUGCAUGGGCCUGGCGCACCUCAC
rfam:Capsicum annuum cultivar Zunla-1 chromosome 4, whole genome shotgun sequence